rnacentral:tRNA from 1 species
GUCAGAAUGGCCGAGUGGUCUAAGGCACCAGACUCAAGAUGUUCUAGCCUUCUCAAAAUAAUGAGAUGUCUGGUCUCCAACUGGAGGUGUGGGUUCAUAGCCCAUUUCUGACA